GGAGAGGUGGCAGAGCGGUUGAAUGCACCGGUCUUGAAAACCGGCAGGCCUUCGCGGGUCUCGUGAGUUCGAAUCUCACCCUCUCCGCCA
rnacentral:tRNA from 1 species